rnacentral:rRNA from 1 species
GAUGAACGCUAGCUACAGGCUUAACACAUGCAAGUCGAGGGGAAACGACAUCGAAAGCUUGCUUUUGAUGGGCGUCGACCGGCGCACGGGUGAGUAACGCGUAUCCAACCUGCCCACCACUUGGGGAUAACCUUGCGAAAGUAAGACUAAUACCCAAUGAUAUCUCUAGAAGACAUCUGAAAGAGAUUAAAGAUUUAUCGGUGAUGGAUGGGGAUGCGUCUGAUUAGCUUGUUGGCGGGGUAACGGCCCACCAAGGCAACGAUCAGUAGGGGUUCUGAGAGGAAGGUCCCCCACAUUGGAACUGAGACACGGUCCAAACUCCUACGGGAGGCAGCAGUGAGGAAUAUUGAUCAAUGGACGAGAGUCUGAACCAGCCAAGUAGCGUGCAGGAAGACGGCCCUAUGGGUUGUAAACUGCUUUUAUAAGGGAAUAAAGUGAGUCUCGGGAGACUUUUUGCAUGUACCUUAUGAAUAAGGACCGGCUAAUUCCGUG